rnacentral:misc_RNA from 1 species
UAGAAACCAUAAUUCUUAGGAACAAUAUUUUCAAAUACGUAACGUCAACAUGCAAUGUAAAACCAUCACAAACCAUGAUCCCGACAUAGUGUUAAAGUGCUCAACACCCAUAAAGAAUAUUCGGUGGUUUACCAAAAUAAACUUCCCAAGCAUAUACUAAAAAAUUGAUACACCUUGGUUACAAAGCGAAAUUUAUCAAUUACCAAAAUAGUAGAUUCAUCAAAGAUCAACCAACACAAUCUAUAUCACCAGGGUACAAGAAAAUUGAAACUAUACGAUGGGUAUUCCUCUAAAACUAUACAACAAUCUUCAAACGAAAAGGGUACAAGAAAAUUUUCCAAAGCAAUAGAAAAUUG